rnacentral:rRNA from 1 species
AACGAACGCUGGCGGCAUGCCUAACACAUGCAAGUCGAACGGGUACCUUCGGGUGCUAGUGGCGCACGGGUGCGUAACGCGUGGGAAUCUGCCCUUGGGUUCGGAAUAACUCAGCGAAAGCUGUGCUAAUACCGGAUGAUGGCGAAAGACCAAAGAUUUAUCGCCCGAGGAUGAGCCCGCGUUGGAUUAGCUAGUUGGUGGGGUAAAGGCCUACCAAGGCGACGAUCCAUAGCUGGUCUGAGAUGAUGAUCAGCCACACUGGGACUGAGACACGGCCCAGACUCCUACGGGAGGCAGCAGUGGGGAAUAUUGGACAAUGGGCGAAAGCCUGAUCCAGCAAUGCCGCGUGCAUGAUGAAGGCCUUAGGGUUGUAAAGCUCUUUUACCCGGGAUGAUAAUGACAGUACCGGAAGAAUAAGCUACGGCUAACUCCGUG